GAUCAUGGCUCAGGAUGAACGCUAGCUACAGGCUUAACACAUGCAAGUCGAGGGGAAACGACAUCGAAAGCUUGCUUUUGAUGGGCGUCGACCGGCGCACGGGUGAGUAACGCGUAUCCAACCUGCCCAUCACUUGGGGAUAACCUUGCGAAAGUAAGACUAAUACCCAAUGAUAUCUCUAGAAGACAUCUGAAGGAGAUUAAAGAUUUAUCGGUGAUGGAUGGGGAUGCGU
rnacentral:rRNA from 1 species